GCCGAGCGGGGACUGUCGAGCUGGGCCGCGGUUCCUCCAGCACCGCUGGUAGCGGGGUGCGGACCCGCGACAGCCUCUCAGCUCCGGGCAGUGAGGUGCGAGAGGCGCUGCGGGGCGAAUAAGAAUGCUUGGACAAGAUCUUUCUGAUAAGUGGCACAGUAGGACCCACUAGCUUCUCUCUGGCCACGCAGAACAACGUGCCAGAUACAGAUGAAGGCAAAAACCACUUGGAAGGCAAGGUUCAAAUGAAGUGGAAGAAACAUGUUUCUGAAAAAUGUAAGGACAGGUGCUUCAGAAGUAGAACCAGAUCCACACAUCACUGGAUUGGAGCUAUACCAAUGCUGCUACCAGUCAAUAUCUGUACAAACAACUGCACCC
rnacentral:lncRNA from 1 species